rnacentral:rRNA from 1 species
GACGAACCGUGCGAACGUUGUUCGGAUUCACUGGGCUUAAAGGGCGCGUAGGCGGGUGAUCGAGUCUGGGGUGAAAUCCUCUCGCUUAACGAGAGAACUGCCCUGGAUACUGGUCAUCUCGAGGAAGGUAGGGGCAUGUGGAACUUCCGGUGGAGCGGUGAAAUGCGUAGAUAUCUGGAGGAACACCGGUGGCGAAGGCGGCAUCCUGGACCGGUAUUGACGCUGAGGCGCGAAAGCUAGGGGAGCAAACGGG